AGGCAACAGAAUCCAGAGCCAGGGUGGGGGAGCCCCUUAUUCACCCUUACCCUGCCUUCUACUUCUCCCCAAGCCUAGCACCAGGCUCCCAAGACCUGGGGCCCACUUGAGCCUUGUUGGAUUUUCAGUCCUAAUUGGUGCCACGAGGGACAGACCUCAGGUAGAUGACCAGCCCGUGAUCAGAGUCCACUCUCGUCACCCUGCUCAUCCUCUUUGGAGAGCUCCAGGCCAAGAACCAGGGAUUGAGGGCUGUGGACCGUUCUUUUUACCCCCCACCCUGGUCAAUCUUGGCUUCCCUGCUCUUCCCCGUAUGCGCAUCCCUGUCUCUCUGUCCUAACUGCCUCCUCCUGGUGCUGACACCACGGGCUUUGGGGCAGAAACGCUCAUUUGUCCCACUCUAGACAGUGACUCAGAACUGACAUAGCUUUGGUCUCAGUGCAAACCUGAGGCUUAGGCAGAGGCUGCCUGGAGGGCUGUCUUGAGACCGAUUUUUGGGCCACAGGCCAGCUCUGCGGGAAAGAAUCACAGCUGUACUGUGAUCAUUAGUGAUGUCUGCCACAGGCAAGAAAAGAGGCAGAGAACAAGCAGAGCUGAUUCUGCCAUGUGCCAGUCACUAUGAUCCCAGACCAUUCACUCGCACUUGACAGUUGGAGAAGCCUGGGCCUAAAGAACGAUGAAGGCAAAGCGGGCCAGUCUGCGUUUUGUGAAGGAGACGCACAGGAGUCCUGGGAGCUGGGGCUUCUCGGGCUGUACAGUGUCACGUGCAGCCCGUUUUUGCUACCAGGACAGCUGGGCCCCGGGCACCUGCCAAUCAUUGCGCUCCACUCGGUAAUCUGCCCUCCCCACAAUCAGAGCAGUGCAGCUGGGUGGCUGAAUUAUAGGCUGUGGGCAGAUGGCGGAGAUGGCUCUGUGUGUGCCGUCCAAAGAGAGAGGGGAGUGAAGCCCCUGCCACUGUCCUCCUUCCCCUGACAGCAGACAUCCUCGUUUUUGGAGAACCAGUCUGCCAGCACCAGCCAUCGGGCGCCCCGCUUUUCCUCCAGAGCACACUUGUGCUGGAGCAAACUCAGUGCAGCAAACUCCUGAGCCCUCCCGCUAGCCAGGUCAUGGU
ensembl:lncRNA